rnacentral:rRNA from 1 species
UACGUAGGGGGCAAGCGUUGUCCGGAAUCAUUGGGCGUAAAGAGCGUGUAGGCGGCCCCGAUAAGUCCGCCGUGAAAGCCCAGGGCUCAACCCUGGGAUGCCGGUGGAUACUGUCGGGCUAGAAUCCGGAAGAGGCGAGUGGAAUUCCCGGGUGUAGCGGUGAAAUGCGCAGAUAUCGGGAGGAACACCAAUGGCGAAGGCAGCUCGCUGGGACGGUACUGACGCUGAGACGCGAAAGCGUGGGAGCAAACAGG